rnacentral:lncRNA from 1 species
UGGGUGUGGGCCAAGCUGUAGGUGUGGGCAUGGGCGACAGUGUAGGCAUGGGCAUGGGUGUGGGUGAUGGUGUGGGUGUGGGCCAGGCUGUAGGUGUGGGCAUGGGUGACGGUGUUGCUGUAGGUGAUAGUGUGGGUGUGGGUGAGGCUGUAGGUGUGGGCAUGGGUGACGGUGUAGGCAUGGGCAUGGGUGUGGGUGAUGGCGUGGGUGUGGGCGAGGCUGUAGGUGUGGGCAUGGGUGAUGGUGUAGGCGUGGGCAUGGGUGUGGGUGUCAGUGAUAGUGCAGCCAUCCCCACACCUAAGGG